UUGAUCAGUCAAAAUGUCUGCUUCCUUGAGUUGUCAAGAGUGUGAUAUCGGUGACAAACAUUUUGACAUUCGUUCAAUAAUUUGUUCAAUAACGGUUUGAGAUUAUUCUACUUUAAAGUGUUGUGAUAUAUUCUAACGGUGACCAGUUGUUUUGAUACGUGGGCGAGGCUUUGACAAAUAGCGUGUUUCUGGCUAGCCAAUUAUAUAGCAUCUAACGUUAGCCAAUGUUACUUGGCUGUUGCUCGCGUCUUUGUUUUCACACCUUUGCCCCACAGAACGCGCUUGCCAGAGUCGGCACUUCGAUAUACAACAACUCUGCAACACGAGCACUUCAUGUCACUGCAGCAUGCUGCAAGAAUCGUGCAGCUCGUAUUCGGGUGGGGAAAGGAGACCGACCACUAACAUAUGAGCAAGCACUCCACCCCCACCACAUAGGACACCGCAAGCUGGCUCUCACAGCACACUAGUAACCUACAGAGAGGAGCAUGUGGAAGACGUGUUUGUACGACGUUUCCUCUUCGGAACUUUCCAUAACUGCCUGGCCAAUGAGAUUGUGAUAAAGCGACGAGGCAACAUGCUGAUGCUACAGAAGUUCUACUUCCUGAUUGGCUACACGGAAACACUGCUCUCCCACUUCUACAAGUGUCCUGUUAAGAUGGAGGGACAGACCCUGGAGGAUAAGGCUGUCUACAAGUACCUCUGAGACAGAAAUUGCUAACAGAUUUGACUUAAUACUUUUUAACCUUUAUUUUACUAGGCAAGUCAGUUAAGAACAAAUUCUUAUUUUCAAUGACGGCCUAGGAACAGUGGGUUAACUGCCUGUUCAGGGGCAGAAUGACAGAUUUGUACCUUGUCAGCUCGGGGAUUCAAACUUGCAACCUUUCAGUUACUAGUCCAACGCUCUAACCACUAGGCUACCCUGCCGCCCCCACUUGUCAUACAGGACUAUUUUGGGGAAACUCACCACCGUACAGUUGUAAAAAAUAAAUGGUAUUUUAAUGAGUCUAUUAAUCUCUAUCUACAGUGUGUGGAAACCAACUAUUGAGUGUGUGCCUUGGCUCUUCACAGUAGGAAUAGACUACCAGAUAGUGUUGUCUUCAGGUGAAACGUCAACUUAGUGAAAAUAAAUCUAAUGUAUAAAAGUGACACGAGUCUCUAUCCUACACGGCAGACAAUCUGUUCCAACAUAGUACAUUUAUCUUUUUAAGGAGAAGGAAGCGAGAAAGGUAGGAAAGCGUGUCACAAAUAGGCAUUGGGUCAGAUUCAAACCCACGUAGUUAGUGGUAGGUAUGUGCUCCAUAGGUGCUGGUACUGACAGCCAGACCAUACAUUUUCCAGAGCAUUCUGUAACACAUUGCACCCUCCUGAACAGGCCCCAUUGUUUUUCCAUCUCCUCUUUAAAUUGGAUUCCAGUCUAGAACUAUUCACUACUUGUAAAUCAUGUGUUGGAGUUAAAUGGACUUAUGAAAAACUCA